rnacentral:lncRNA from 1 species
AACAUUCCUUCAGCAGAGCCACAUGUUGUCUUCAAUUGCUGUCUUCAAAUCAUUGAAUACUUGAAGGUUUGCUGGCCAAUGCAGGACUGAUUAUAAGUAAUGAUGACGCAUCUGUAACUUCUAAAUGGGAAGGUCUUUGAGUGGGAUUGAAUAGAGAAAGUGAUGAAAAAAUAAUUGUGGUAAUACAUACUGUUCCAGGUUUUAAACACAUACAGAGGGAAAAUGAGGUGAAGACACAAGGAAAAGACAACCACCUAUGAGCCAAGGAGAGAGGCCUUAAAAGAAAUCAACCCUGCCAUCUUGAUCUUGGACUUCAGCCUCCAGAAUGAUGGGGACUCACUCUGUCACCCAGGCUGGAGUGCAGUGGCGCCAUCUUGGCUCACUGCAACCUCCACCACCUAGGCUCAAGCGAUCUUCCUAUUUCAGCCUCCCAAAUAGCAGGGACCACAAGCAUGUACCACCAUGCCCAGAAUGAAUGUGGGCAGGAAGGAUCCUGAAAUAUCUACUUAGCUGCAUUUCCAAUGCUAUGUCAUAAAUGGCAAUACAACUUCUGCCUUGUU